AAUAAACCGAUGACCAAGGGUAAGUAGUUAUUAUUUGGGUAUUCAGAGAGUCGUGUAUGGUGUGAUGCGAUAUAUUCCGGUAUUAAUGAAUGGACUUGGGAGGGCAGAUUGAAAGGCAACGAGUAGAUUCUGACGGAGACUUGACCGUUAUCAGCGAGAGACAUAUGAUGGUAUGUUUAAGAGUGGAUGUAGUACAUCAAUUUGGGUGGUACCGCAGAAGUUAGUUUAUACAGCUUUUGUCCCUAUA
rnacentral:ncRNA from 1 species